GAUGAAGAACGUAGCGAAAUGCGAUAAGUAGUGUGAAUUGCAGAAUUCAGUGAAUCAUCGAAUCUUUGAACGCACAUUACGCCCCUUGGUAUUCCAUGGGGCAUGCCUGUUCGAGCGUCAUUUGUACCUUCAAGCUCUGCUUGGUGUUGGGUGUUUGUCUCGCCUCUGCGUGUAGACUCGCCUCAAAAUAAUUGGCAGCCGGCGUAUUGAUUUCGGAGCGCAGUACAUCUCGCGCUUUGCACUCAUAACGACGACGUCCAAAAGUACAUUUUUACACUCUUGACCUCGGAUCAGGUAGGGAUACCCGCUGAACUUAAGCAUAUCAAUAAGCGGAGGA
rnacentral:misc_RNA from 1 species